UCGAAUCUCGCAGCGAGCAGACCGUGCACACGUAUACGCCGCACGGGGCUCCCGACGGACAGGUGCUCGUGCGCCUCCCGUCGCCGCCCCGCACCCGCCUGACCCUCGCGCGACCGAUUGCGCUAGGCGGGGACUGCAACAAAACCACGGCGCGGAAAAGGCGCCAAGGAUCACAAACGCGGAGCGCCACCCCCUUCGUGCGGCACGCUUGAUGCUUGCCGUUCGUGGGACGUGCGUCUCUCCUGAGACUGAAUACGGAAAGAAU
rnacentral:misc_RNA from 1 species